rnacentral:rRNA from 1 species
AAGGUCCCGCCUGCCCAGUGAUUCACUUUUAACGGCCGCGGGUACUCUAACCGUGCAAAGGUAGCGUAAUCACUUGCCCCUUAAAUAGGGGCUUGUAUGAAUGGCUAGAUGAGGGCUCAACUGUCUCCUAAGACACCCCAAUGAACCUGCUCUCCCAGUACAAAAGCUGGAAUAACCCCAUAAGACGAGAAGACCCUGUGGAGCUUUUAAACACACUAUCAAGCUGCCCAGCCCGUGAUAGCAACUUUAAGUUGGGGCGACUACGGAGAAAUACAGAACCUCCACGAAAUAAACUAAAACCUGCCCCAGGCUAACAUACCAAAGGCACCCAGCCCUCUGACCCAGUAUAACUGAACACCGGACCAAGUUACCCCAGGGAUAACAGCGCCAUCCCCCUCAAGAGUCCUUAUCGCCAGGGGGGUUUACGACCUCGAUGUUGGAUCAGGAC